GGAAUAUUGCACAAUGGGCGCAAGCCUGAUGCAGCGACGCCGCGUGAGGGAUGACGGCCUUCGGGUUGUAAACCUCUUUCAGUAGGGAAGAAGCGAAAGUGACGGUACCUGCAGAAGAAGCGCCGGCUAACUACGUGCCAGCAGCCGCGGUAAUACGUAGGGCGCAAGCGUUAUCCGGAAUUAUUGGGCGUAAAGAGCUCGUAGGCGGUUUGUCGCGUCUGCCGUGAAAGUCCGGGGCUCAACUCCGGAUCUGCGGUGGGUACGGGCAGACUAGAGUGAUGUAGGGGAGACUGGAAUUCCUGGUGUAGCGGUGAAAUGCGCAGAUAUCAGGAGGAACACCGAUGGCGAAGGCAGGUCUCUGGGCAUUAACUGACGCUGAGGAGCGAAAGCAUGGGGAGCGAACAGGAUUAGAUACCCGAG
rnacentral:rRNA from 1 species